UGUGCAAACGCCGAGUCAUAACUAAGCGACGGAGCCUCCGCACGGCCUGCCAGGCCUGCUGCGCGUCUGCCUUCCCCGGGACUAUUAAUAGCUCCCGUUCUCUCCGGAGAGGCCAGGUUUGGCCGAUAUUUUAUACAGCCACCCUAUUUAUAACCCAGUAGUGGGUUAUGCAAUCAAUUCCGAAGGUGACAACCAACACUUAAAAGAAGGAGUUGAAAGCCCCUUGGCUGGACCAGAGACUUGAUCCGGGAAACCUCUGAUUACAGCCUGGCUCGGCCCAUCGCCUCACCCCGCAGCUGAGGCACAAACACCCUGACUUAUUCUCUUUUGAACCCGCGGAAGCCCCAUGCUUUGUAACACAAAAUAUAAUUCAUUCUCCCAGA